rnacentral:lncRNA from 1 species
AGUUUAUCUUUUAAAAAAUGAUAAUCAAUUUGAAGAUGAAUUGUCACUCUUAGCUAAUCCUUGAGUAAACAUGGAGUUUUUUGCCCUUGUUCACACAUUAUAAACAUAAAUCACCAGACAAGAAACACUUUGAGCAAUUAGCCAUAAAGAUUGUAGCAUCACAAGAUCCCUUGCCUCGUUGUAAUCAAGACUUCUAUAAAAGACACUUGG